AUUUAUGCCAAGUCCUGAAGUUCCUCCAAAGCAUUUUUUUUUUUCUAAAUAGAGUUUGGAAAUCUCUUCAUUAAUGUUCCCAGUUGCUAAGCAACACCCCCUCUUUGCUUGUUGCCAUGGUUGCCCUUGAAUUAGGGAGGACACAAAGCCAUCUGUUUAAACCAAGACCCCUCCUCUCUCUAGAAUACGAACUGUUCUGUUCAUCCAGAGGCAAGAUACAAAAUAACUCCCCGACUGCUCAGCUGCAAUGCAUGUCAAUGUGGAAACAACAUCUACUUUAAAGACAGAAUGAUUUGCAACACACCUGAAAAUAAUCUGAAGACUGUUCCUCUAAUUACCAACUGGCUAAUUAAGAGACAGUUUAUUGGAAAAGCUUCAACUGUAACUCACCUUCAAGACCACAAUUUACUUGCACCAUACAGCCAAGAUUCUGGAGAACUUAUGUAAUCUUAGCCAUUAAGAUUGUGGGAUUUACAUAAAAAGUAGAGCCAAGUUGGAAAAGAUUGAUUUGGGGUGAUAAAAAACUUAAUUGAAGGGCAUUGCCCAUUUGUCAUUUCAAACAUAACUUCUGGAACUCCUCAUCUAAUAUGCAGAACCGACUGGAGGAAAUUCACAACUCUCAAACUAGACUUGUAGGAAAGAGAGGUGUCCUUUGAUAUCUCUACUUCCCUUCCUUUUCUUAUUUAACUCCUUUUAACCAACUCAUUUACACAAUUAUGCUUUAUGAUAUUAUCUAUUGAAUCCCUCCAAUAGUCAAUUUAAAUAGUCAGUUUUAUAUUUUAGUCUCUUCUACAUGCCUCAGCAAAAAC
rnacentral:lncRNA from 1 species